UACGGGGGGGGCAAGCGUUGUUCGGAAUUACUGGGCGUAAAGGGCGCGUAGGCGGUUUGCUAAGUUGGACGUGAAAACUCUGGGCUUAACCCAGAGCCUGCAUCCAAAACUGGCAAGCUAGAGUUUUGGAGGGGGAAGCGGAAUUCCUGGUGUAGCAGUGAAAUGCGUAGAUAUCAGGAGGAACACCGGUGGCGAAGGCGGCUUCCUGGACAAAAACUGACGCUGAGGCGCGAAAGCUAGGGGAGCAAACAGG
rnacentral:rRNA from 1 species